AUACGUAGGUGACAAGCGUUAUCUGGAUUUACUGGGCGUAAAGGGCGUGUAGGCGGUCUUGCAAGUCAGAAGUGAAAUUCCUGAGCUCAACUCGGGCGCUGCUUCUGAAACUGCAGGACUUGAGUGCUGGAGGGGAUAGCGGAAUUCCUAGUGGAGCGGUAAGAUGCGCAGAUAUUAGGAAGAACACCGGAGGCGAAGGCGGCUAUCUGGACAGUAACUGACGCUGAGGCGCGAAAGCGUGGGGAGCAAACAGGAUUAGAUCCCCUGGUAGUCCACGCCGUAAACGGUGAAUACUAGGUGUAGGGGGUAUCGACUCCCUCUGUGCCGCAGUUAACACAAUAAGUAUUCCGCCUGGGGAGUACGGCCGCAAGGUUGAAACUCAAAUGAAUUGGCGGGG
rnacentral:rRNA from 1 species